GUGCCAGCAGCCGCGGUAAUACGGAGGGUGCAAGCGUUAAUCGGAAUUACUGGGCGUAAAGCGCACGCAGGCGGUCUGUCAAGUCGGAUGUGAAAUCCCCGGGCUCAACCUGGGAACUGCAUUCGAAACUGGCAGGCUAGAGUCUUGUAGAGGGGGGUAGAAUUCCAGGUGUAGCGGUGAAAUGCGUAGAGAUCUGGAGGAAUACCGGUGGCGAAGGCGGCACCCUGGACAAAGACUGACGCUCAGGUGCGAAAGCGUGGGGAGCAAACAGGAUUAGAUA
rnacentral:rRNA from 1 species